GCACUCACCCGCGCAACCGAGGACUUUUUUCCUUUUCGUUAUCUCAAAUAUAUAUAUUUUUCAACAGCACUUGAGAACAAUAAAAGGAUUAAUAACGAUAAUACGAAGAAAUAUUGUCGAUGAUAAAAAAAAUUUUGCCACGUCGUGUCCACUCGCGCUUUUUAUUAGCCAACACUUUGUUGGACAUCAAAGUGGUAUCCCGUGCGGGGGAGGCACCGAGUGCCUCAUUAUAAGUCGGAGAAGACGCUUGCCGGUCGUUCGGAGCUCCACCACGAUAUUGACUAGUUCAUCAACCACGGGAAUCCUUACUUCUCAAUACUAACAUGAAAAAAGAAAGAAAGCGCAAGGGGAGAUAGUUGUAUAACACCGCGGCUAACUGCGAGUGGAGAGUCCGAGCUAAAGAUUUCACUGCAAUGUCGUGGGAUUAUGGCUCCGCUGAGAAAGCCACCGAAUCAAGUGAAAUUUUAAGCAAAUCUGAAGGGUGGCCGUGUCGCGAAAGAACGUACAAACGUCCGUGCUAAUUCAACACUUACACAGGGUGCAAAAGGGCAGUAAGCGCGGCAGAAUAUUCAACUAACGCUUCCGUAAAGAAAACGAAAGUGGCGGCUGCAUUCCUUCGGUUAAGAGAAACCUCGGAGACGAGAAAAUCAUUUAUUUGCCCGUAACAUUGGAAUAAAUAUUCCGAAGCGUCUAACUGGUGACACAUUUAAAUGUUUUUAUUCUGAAGCACGAAUCUACAGGAUUUCAGAGCAUCACGUACGUUGAACAACGGAGAGUAAGAAUUGGAGUAGGAAAAAUUGAGGCCCGUUGAGAAGUGAUAGUGCGGGAAUCGUAAGUCGAGAGGACCGAUACUGUACCCGGGGGCCCGUCGUAGUGUUGUCUGCCGGGAGUGGUGGAGGUGGAGGAGGUGGAGGCGGCGGUCGAAG